rnacentral:rRNA from 1 species
GAUGAACGCUGGCGGCGUGCCCAAUACAUGCAAGUCGAGCGAACAGACGAGGAGCUUGCUCCUCUGACGUUAGCGGCGGACGGGUGAGUAACACGUGGAUAACCUACCUAUAAGACUGGGAUAACUUCGGGAAACCGGAGCUAAUACCGGAUAAUAUAUUGAACCGCAUGGUUCAAUAGUGAAAGACGGUUUUGCUGUCACUUAUAGAUGGAUCCGCGCCGCAUUAGCUAGUUGGUAAGGUAACGGCUUACCAAGGCGACGAGGCGUAGCCGACCUGAGAGGGUGAUCGGCCACACUGGAACUGAGACACGGUCCAGACUCCUACGGGAGGCAGCAGUAGGGAAUCUUCCGCAAUGGGCGAAAGCCUGACGGAGCAACGCCGCGUGAGUGAUGAAGGUCUUCGGAUCGUAAAACUCUGUUAUUAGGGAAGAACAAAUGUGUAAGUAACUAUGCACGUCUUGACGGUACCUAAUCAGAAAGCCACGGCUAACUACGUG